ensembl:snRNA U6 U6 spliceosomal RNA
AUGCUCACUUUAGGAGCACAUAUACUAAAAUGGGAACGAUACAGAGAAGAGUAGCAUGGUCCUUAAAGAAAGUGAAAUUUUUAGGACAAAGGUACAAACAUUUA